rnacentral:rRNA from 1 species
GGCGGCGGCCUACACAUGCNAGUCGAGCGGAUGACAGGAGCUUGCUCCUGAAUUCAGCGGCGGACGGGUGAGUAAUGCCUAGGAAUCUGCCUGGUAGUGGGGGACAACGUUUCGAAAGGAACGCUAAUACCGCAUACGUCCUACGGGAGAAAGCAGGGGACCUUCGGGCCUUGCGCUAUCAGAUGAGCCUAGGUCGGAUUAGCUAGUUGGUGAGGUAAUGGCUCACCAAGGCGACGAUCCGUAACUGGUCUGAGAGGAUGAUCAGUCACACUGGAACUGAGACACGGUCCAGACUCCUACGGGAGGCAGCAGUGGGGAAUAUUGGACAAUGGGCGAAAGCCUGAUCCAGCCAUGCCGCGUGUGUGAAGAAGGUCUUCGGAUUGUAAAGCACUUUAAGUUGGGAGGAAGGGCAGUAAAUUAAUACUUUGCUGUUUUGACGUUACCGACAGAAUAAGCACCGGCUAACUCUGUGCCAGCAGCCGCGGUAAU